rnacentral:rRNA from 1 species
UUGGGAAUCUUCGGCAAUGGACGAAAGUCUGACCGAGCAACGCCGCGUGAGUGAAGAAGGUUUUCGGAUCGUAAAACUCUGUUGUUAGAGAAGAACAAGGACGUUAGUAACUGAACGUCCCCUGACGGUAUCUAACCAGAAAGCCACGGCUAACUACGUGCCAGCAGCCGCGGUAAUACGUAGGUGGCAAGCGUUGUCCGGAUUUAUUGGGCGUAAAGCGAGCGCAGGCGGUUUCUUAAGUCUGAUGUGAAAGCCCCCGGCUCAACCGGGGAGGGUCAUUGGAAACUGGGAGACUUGAGUGCAGAAGAGGAGAGUGGAAUUCCAUGCGUAGCGGUGAAAUGCGUAGAUAUAUGGAGGAACACCAGUGGCGAAGGCGGCUCUCUGGUCUGUAACUGACGCUGAGGCUCAAAAGCGUGGGGAGCAAACAGG